AUGAAAUCUGAAAAACAGGAUUGAGUUUGGAGCAGGGAGAGGAGGGGGAUGAGGAAAACCGCGGGACACCUGGAACCCGGGGCUUGGGACGCAGCAAAAGGUUUGGGCAGCUGAUUUUAGGGCGGGAACGGCGCAGGUGAGGGGAGCUGGGGCGAGGUUUGGGGCAGGACGAGCGGUUUGAGGGAUUUGCAUGCGCCUACGUGAGCGCGGGGAUGAGUCCCGAGGGCUGGGGCAGGAGGGAGGCACCGGCAGCGCGGGGAGAGGCGAGAGCUGGGCAGGAGCGAGGGGGUCCCCGCCAGCCCCAUCGCCACCCUCGAGCCCCUCAGAGCCGCCCCGAGCCCGGGAUCACGAUGGGAGCGGCUUUUCCUAAAGGGCAGGUACUUUUAAUGGGCUGGAAAAAAAAAAAAAAAUAAAAGAAAAAAAAAAGAA